CAGCCGCCGCGGUAAUACCAGCCCCGCGAGUGGUCGGGACGGUUAUUGGGCCUAAAGCGCCCGUAGCCGGCCCGGCAAGUCCCUCCUUAAAGCCUCGGGCCCAACCCGAGGACGGGGGGGAUACUGCCGGGCUAGGGGGCGGGAGAGGCCGGCGGUACUCCCGGGGUAGGGGCGAAAUCCGUUAAUCCCGGGAGGACCACCAGUGGCGAAGGCGGCCGGCUGGAACGCGCCCGACGGGGAGGGGCGAAAGCCGGGGGAGCGAACCGGAUUAGAUACCCGGGUAGUCCCGGCGGUAAACGAUGCGGGCUAGCUGUUGGGCGGGCUUAGAGCCCGCCCAGUGGCGCAGGGAAGCCGUUAAGUCCGCCGCCUGGGGAGUACGGCCGCAAGGCUGAAACUUAAAGGAAUUGGCGGG
rnacentral:rRNA from 1 species